rnacentral:rRNA from 1 species
GACGAACGCUGGCGGCGGGCUUAACACAUGCAAGUCGAACGGAAAGGCCCUGCUUUUGUGGGGUGCUCGAGUGGCGAACGGGUGAGUAACACGUGAGUAACCUGCCCUUGACUUUGGGAUAACUUCAGGAAACUGGGGCUAAUACCGGAUAGGAGCUCCUGCUGCAUGGUGGGGGUUGGAAAGUUUCGGCGGUUGGGGAUGGACUCGCGGCUUAUCAGCUUGUUGGUGGGGUAGUGGCUUACCAAGGCUUUGACGGGUAGCCGGCCUGAGAGGGUGACCGGCCACACUGGGACUAAGAGACGGCCCAGACUCCUACAGGGGGCAGCAGUGGGGAAUAUUGCACAAUGGGCGGGAGCCUGAUGCAGCGACGCCGCGUGCGGGAUGACGGCCUUCGGGUUGUAAACCGCUUUCGCCUGUGACGCAGCGUGAGUGACGGUAAUGGGUGAAGAAGCACCGGCUAACUACGUG